UACCAGCUCUCCGAGUAGUGUGGAUGUUUAUUGGGCCUAAAGCAUCCGUAGCUUGCUAAGCAAGUCCCCUGUUAAAUCCACCGAUUUAAUCGUUGGAUUGCGGCGGAUACUGUUUGGCUAGGGGACGGGAGAGGCCGACGGUAUUUCCGGGGUAGGGGUGAAAUCCUAUAAUCCCGGGAAGACCACCAGUGGCGAAGGCCGUCGGCUAGAACGCGCCCGACGGUGAGGGAUGAAAGCUGGGGGGAGCGAACCGGAUUAGAUACCCGGGUAGUCCCAGCUGUAAACGAUGCAGGCUAGGUGUUUGGGCGGCCACGUGCCGCUCUAGUGCCGCAGGGAAGUCGUUAAGCCUGCCGCCUGGGGAGUACGGCCGUAAGGCUGAAACUUAAAGGAAUUGGCGGGGAGCACCACAAGGGGUGAAGCUUGCGGUUU
rnacentral:rRNA from 1 species